rnacentral:rRNA from 1 species
CCUACGGGGGGCAGCAGUGAGGAAUAUUGGUCAAUGGACGAGAGUCUGAACCAGCCAAGUAGCGUGAAGGAUGACUGCCCUAUGGGUUGUAAACUUCUUUUAUAAAGGAAUAAAACGAGGCAAGUGUGCCUUUUUGCAUGUACUUUAUGAAUAAGGAUCGGCUAACUCCGUGCCAGCAGCCGCGGUAAUACGGAGGAUCCGAGCGUUAUCCGGAUUUAUUGGGUUUAAAGGGAGCGUAGAUGGGUUGUUAAGUCAGUUGUGAAAGUUUGCGGCUCAACCGUAAAAUUGCAAUUGAUACUGGCAGUCUUGAGUGCAGUUGAGGUAGGCGGAAUUCGUGGUGUAGCGGUGAAAUGCGUAGAUAUCACGAAGAACACCGAUGGCGAAGGCAGCUUACUAAACUGUGACUGACAUUGAGGCUCGAAAGUGUGGGGAUCAAACAGGAUUAGAUACCCGUGUAGUC